CCUACGUCAAGAUGGCGACCGUGACGACUUUUCAAUAGAGACAGACCAGGGCUAGUAGGAGGGCCGCUGCAGGCGUUUGGGCCUCAGUGUAGGAGCGAAAAGGGUGGACUCUCAGCUCAGAAAGGUGCUGACAGAGAAGAACCAUGUGUGAUGUUGAGUCUGCUAGACAAAUUACUGGAGCAAGAGUGAAGAGAUCAGGGUCCUAUCACUGGGACACUUUAGGAGCUCGGAGCGCUUUUUCAGAUGGGAAUCCCACUGCCCUGUUCCCGAGGCAUUGCUGCUUAGGAGCAGGGCUACUCUGCGCCCCUUGGACAGGUGCUGGACAUUGCUGGAUAGAGCUAGAGAAAAAUGCAGAACAAAAUUCUAACUCAGAAAGACCAGACUUGCUGGCCGGACGGAGUCUGGAGAAACCCUGAGAGUAUGGCCCCUGGAUACCCUUUCAGCUCAGUAAUGAAGUCACUCCUGAGGUUCACCUUUCAGCCAAAGAUUGGAGAGGCCCAUGAAACAAAACAAGAAUAAAGGGGCACACCAGCCCAGGAACAAGGACUAGAAGCUACCUGAUGGAAGAGGAGGAAGGAAGAAAUGUAAGGAGAACAAAUACCCAUGAACGUCUCUGCAGUGAGAGCUGCCAUCUCUGCCUUCCCUGCCACGCAUGUUCUCAUUCAGAGCUCCGAAAACGGACACACCCAUUUUCUCAGCUAAAAGGCUGGAGGGAGCACUAACAGAAUCUGCAGGUGCAAUUCUCAGUCACUUUUUCCCUGAUGUCUUCAACGUCUUAGAGUUUCCCAGGUGCCAGUUAGUCUAAAACAUGUCUCAGUGUAUCCUGAACAUAAAACAUCUGCCCGUUUGCCCAGGCCUAAUUUUCUGGCUUUCAUGCACACUGUUAUUCAUCUAGCCUGUACAUCCAGAGCUGAAUCUGGCCAACCUGUUGAAAGAAGACAGGGAUUGCACGGAGUUAGUUUUCACGUGACCGUGAAACUGCUACCCAAAUCCUUGGUUAGGCAAGGGAUUCGUCCCAUUUAGAACUUGAGCUGGUUUUGCUGUACAAGUCCUGGGCAUAUGGUUAUCUUCUUUUCCUUUUAUUAUUUCUGGUUGCCCAAGUAAGGUACUCCAAAAGUGUUCUAAUUCACAUGCGUUGAUUGCUCCUGGGGCCCUCACUGGAUGAGAGUGACAGAACUUUUACCCGGAAUGCCUCUGUGUAUGGAUUCUCCUCCUGUGGGAGCUGUGUAGAUGCGCCUGGGACAAUUUCAUGCAGACUCUACCCUUCCCCUUGCCUGUGGGGAUUCACUGGUUGGCUAACUAGGUGGUUAAACAGUUAAACCUACUUUCAAUUCAAGGGGCUUUAUUUGGGAGAGUACAGUAGGAAGUAUAUUGUGAAACUGCUUUCAUGUCAUGACCUUCACUAAAAUCCUGGCAAGUAGAGAUGCUGUCUGACUGUUGAACAUGAAGUUUACUUGAGAGACAUUCUUGCCGUUCUCCUGUUGUUGUUGUUAGGCACUGUCGAGUUGGUUCCGACUCAGCGACCCUAUGCACAACAGAACGAAACGCUGCCCAGUCCUGCGCCAUCCUUACAGUCGUUGUUAUGCUUGAACUCAUGGUUGCAGCCACUGCGUCAGGCCACCUUGUUGAAGGUCUUCCUCUUUUCUGCUGACCCUGUACUUUGCCAAGCAUGAUGUCCUUCCCCAGGGACUGAUCCCUCCUGACAACAUGUCCAAAGUAUGUAAGAUGCGGUCUCACCAUCCUUGCCUCUAAGGAGCAUUCUGGCUGUACUUCUUCCGAGACAGAUUUGUUUGUUCUUUUGGCAGUCCGUGGCAUAUUCAAUACUCUUCGCCAACACCGCAAUUCAAAAGCGUCAGUUCUUCUUCGGUCUUCCUUAUUCAUUGUCCAGCUUUCCCAUGCAUAUGAUGCGAUUGAAAAUACCAUGGCUUGGGUCAGGCACACCUUAAUCUUCAGAGUGACAUCUUUGUUCUUCAACACUUUGAAGAGGUCCUUUGCAGCAGAUUUACCCAAUGCAAUGCGUCUUUUGAUUUCCUGACUGCUGCUUCCGUGGCUGUUGAUCAUGGAUCCAAGUAAAAUGAAAUCCUUGACAACUUCAAUCUUUUCUCCGUUGAUCAUGAUGUUGCUCAUUGGUCCAGUUGUGAGGAUUUUUGUUUUCUUUAUGUUGAGGUGUAAUCCAUACUGAAGGCUGUGGUCUUUGAUCUUCAUUACUAAGUGCUUCAAGACCUCUUCACUUUCAGCAAGCAGAGUUGUGUCAUCUGCAUAACGCAGGUUGUUAGUGAGUCUUCCUCCAAUCCUGAUGCCCCGUUCUUCUUCAUAUAGUCCAGCUUCUCAGAUUAUUUGUUCAGCAUAUAGAUUGAAUAGGUAUGGUGAAAGAAUACAACCCUGACGCACACCUUUCCUGACUUUAAACCAAUCAGUAUCCCCUUGUUCUGUCCAAAUAACUGCCUCUGGAUCUAUGUAAAGGUUCCUCAGGAGCACAAUUAAGUGUUCUGGAAUUCCCAUUCUUUGCAACGUUAUCCAUAGUUUGUUAUGAUCCACACACUCAAAUGCCUUUGCAUAGUCAAUAAAAACACGCAGUAUCCCCUUAUUCUGUUCGAACAACUGCCUCUUGAUCUAUGUAAAGGUUCCUCAUGAGGACAAUUAAGUGUUCUGGAAUUCCCUUCUCCUAGACAUGUGCAUUUUCCCUGAACCUGCUCAGUUGGGACUGUCAUGUGGGUAGAUUCAUAAAUUAUUCUGGGACCACCCUAUUACCUAAUUUCUUUGGCUUAGGGAUGAUCCCCAUUCUGAUGCAAAGGAGACAUCUUAUCACAGAUUUCACCCUCGAAUUUGCCCGUUUGUUCAUUUCCCUUAAAAAAGAAAAAAACCCCAAACUCAUUGCCAUCGAGUUGAUUCUGACUCAUAGCAACCCUGUAGGACAGAGUAGAACUGCCCCAUAGGGUUUCCAAGGAGCGGCUGGUGGAUUCAAACUGCCCACCUUUUUUUUUUUUUCGUUAGCAGCCAAGCUCUUAACCACUGUGCCACCAGGGCUCCUCAUUUCCCUUAGAACCCUUCUGUUUCCACCUUAGAGUUAAUGAGAGACUUCCAAUGGAGCACUACGGGUUUUAAGCUCAGUAUAUAUUUAGUUAUUAAUGAGUGGAAGAAUGGAUAGUUGUGUUAUCAAAGAAAUGGUAGUUAUUCUUGGAUUUUCAUCUCUGUGAGGCAGCAGCAGAUGGCUGACAUCAUGCCAUGAUGUGGCCGGAUGAUGCGUGAUCUGAGGACCACUGCUCAGAUGACUGACUGUGAGAUGGGUCCAGGAUUAUUCUGUAAACAUGUUAACCUGCCAAGCAGCCCAGGAGCAGAUGUUAGGCAGAGCACCACACCUUGCUUCCCUGGUGGGAUCCGUCACUGAGAUCACCUGGAGAGUUUAGAGACAAGCCUGUCUUCCAUACAGGGCAGGUGGGUUUGGGUCGGCUCCGAGGCUUCUGAAAUACCCAAGACAGUGGAAAACCCUCUGUCUCCAAAAUUGUGAACUCAAACAUAUCCCAGUUAUUUCUUCCUUCAUCUAGAUACCUGCAUUCUCAUUUGGAGAAAACAAUGAGAACUGUUUUCACAAUGCCUGUGUUAGUCUGAGGCUGAGGCAGCCCCUACUGCUGUACCUCAACAUUUAAAGGGUGAUUGAAGUCCUGCCACCUGCCAUAUGCGCUGUGCUCUGAAUUUUCUCGUCUGUCCCUCAGAACAGCUCUGUGGGGAAGGUAUGGUGAGUCCGAUUUCACAGAAGAACGAGCUCAGGGUUAGAGGACCUGAGUCACCUCUCCAGAUAAGCGGCAGGAUUGCAAUGAGGUUCCCUCCCGUGCCCUCCCUAGAAGACACCGAGCAGCCUCCCCUUUAGAACACGGACUUCCAGGGCUUGAGAAUUGGCCCUUUUACACCCCCUGCUAUUGUGGCCCCAUGAUACCCACUCAACCACUUGGUAAACAAGAUGAUAGUGGAGAUGAACUCCUGCCCUUUGUGCCAAGAGACCUGAGGGCAGGGCCACUUCAAUUGUCCCAUCCCUGAAGAGGUGAGUGGGCCUCAGGCAGAGCACAGGUGUUGCCCUGGGGCAGAUGAUCUAGAGGGAAGGACAUUAACAGGCACAGAGCUACUUUCAUUGCAAGGUACACUUUAUAUCUCAUCUCCUUGAAUCCUGACAGCUAUCAGGUUACCCAUUAUUUGACGCUUUAUCCAUAUUAGGGUUCUGACUUUAGAGGAAUUUAAGUAAAUCAGGAAACAACUUUGUUGUCUCCCGAUCAGCACUUAACUGACAUUAUUCUAAAUUCUCACAUUUUGUCUUCAAGCCUCCAGGGUUUCCGGGGUGUUGUUUAACUUUUUCUGUUUUUUUAAAUGAUGACCUGUAUAGUUUUCAAAAUUAUUAUUCCACAUCAUUGUUGAAAUAAUUAACAGUAAUCUUAUUAUUAUUCAAUACAGUAUUAUUGAAGCUUUAAAAACACACCAAGAAUUGUGUGAAAAUCAGGGAGAACACAUUUGUUAACUACCGGUGCAUCUCAGAUACUGUGUUGGUAUUCAUGGUUUGUGAAGCACACUUACUAACAAACAGAGAUUGGCAAGUAAUUUCAACAGAGAAUUCACAGUAAAAUAUACGUGAACAGUAAGCAGGUUAAAAUAUGCCAAGACCAGAAGAACUAAUUAGAUGCAAAUAUAAAUCCUGAGGAUUAAUAUUAACUAAUUAACAUUUAGUGACAAAGACAAGUUGCAAAAGAGGAUGAGUAAUGUACUUCCUCUCUAGGUGUGGCUGUGCAGGUGUACGUGUUUUUGUCUGCCUCACUAACAGGAACAACCCAGAGAACAUGCACCAUUCUAUUGACAACACACGUCUUGGGGUCAGGGGGUGUGAGUCCAGCCAGUGAGAGAUACAGGGUAUUUUCAGUUUAUAAAUAUACUUUAAUAUGUUGUUUGAAAUCUUGCAUUCAGGAAAUAAAGUAGUCUACAUAUUUGGAAGACAAAGAUUCAUGAACAGAUUGAUAACCAAGUAAUGCGCAUAUAGGUUCACUGUAUUGAGCUUUAUGGGGAAAUGAAGUAGAUAAAAAUAAUUGUUUUGACUGCUCGUGUGUGUGUGUGUGUGUGUGUGUGUGUGUGUCUAGGUCUUCUCUAGCUCUCUCACCCCAAAUACACACAGGUGCAGCUUUACAUUCUGCUCAGACUGUUCACUUCCAGCCUCACUUUGAAUAUCCCGGAAAAUGAUGGAUACAAAGAAAUUGUUACCAAUGGUUGAAAAAUUCCAGAAAAGUCUGUCUGCUGCCAUUAAGCCAAGAUCCCAACCUCCAUCCUUCUAGCCUUCCUGACGCCCCUGGUCCCACUCUCAGAGUAGCAGUCCUGGGUCUGGCCACCACGUGGCAUUCAUUGUCGUUUCUUUUUCUUUUUUAAACAAAAGUGCAUUUUGCACAGCGAAACAAACGUCACGAAAGGGCUUGUUUACUACGAUAUCAAUUCGGUUUGAAAAAUUCGUAUGUGUAUUAAAGCAGUUACAUUUUCUCUUGACCCCAACUCUCUGUCUCAUUCAUUGAUUUGUUUUUUUCCUCAUGAGUGUCAGCUUACACGUCCACACUGCAGAGAGGGCCCUGGCAAGAGAGCAGGGCUUCACACUCCAUCACCGCAUCCCUACAAAGGCCUCACAGACACUCGCAUUCUGUCACCCUUCUCCAGGCCACUCUGGACACAGCUGCCCAGACCUUGCUGCGAUGCCCCCAUCCUCUCAGUCACCCCCGCCCGCCAGGCUCUGUGCUGUGCCGUCCUCUGGCACACCAAGGUGCGCUACAGCUCCCUGGUGUUUCAGCCUCUGGGUGCUCAGAGCAUGUGUUUCUAUCGUCUUAUUUUAUGCCUGUACCUUUGUCAGACAGAAUCAGAAUCAUUCUGUACAUAGGUUCAUAACCUGGGUUUUAAGAGAGGGUUUUGGUCCUUUUAUCAACCCCUCUGCAGAGAAGUUUGAGUGUGGAGGUACCUCGGCGCCACCUCGUGACAGAAGCCUGAACUGCAGCCUGAACUUAGCAGAGCAGAAAAGUGGGAGGGAGGGGCUGUGGCCCAAAGCCACCAAAGAGAGCUUUCUGGAAGGCUGGGUAGGAAAGGAGGCAUACCCAGGGUGCAGGAAUACAGAAGGCCUCCAGACGGGAGGUGCAUUCUCUUUCUAUGCUGAAGAGAAAGCUGUAUGUGAGUGGAAGAAAAAGACCCUUUUUCUUUUUUGUGCUUUGAGCCCUCUGGGUAAACAGCUAGAUAUCUGUAUAAGCAAAAAUGGAUUGAUGCCGGCUGUUACCUGUGUAAUGUGCUUUUGCACUUACUGUGACCAUCUUUCCAUGUAAAUACAUUUCUAGGAUAAUGUUUUUAUUACAAGAACGUUUCAAGCUCUUUUUUUUUUUUUUUUACAUUGACCUGGUGUUACACUGUGUGGAAGCCCAAGUUUAUUUCACCAGUACCAUCCUGCUGAAAAUUUCCUUCCUGUAUCAGUUUUUCUAUUACAAACAGUAGUAUACUUAACACCCUUGCUCAUAUAUGAGCAAAUAUCUUUGUAAACAUUUCUUUGUAAGUUCCUGAAAAUAUUGUUUCCAAACAAUGGAGCCUAUAAAAUUUUAUCUAAAUACAUUACAUUCAAAAAUGCUAUAACUAAUUCCCAUUCCUAAUGACACUGUAUGAAGGUGCCUUUUCUCCACUCACGGGAAAGAAUGUGAAGUGUUCCUAAUCUGACAGGCAACAAAUCGUCUCUCAUCAUCGUUUUCAUGAUGAUGUGUCUUUAAUGCCUGACCACAAUGCCAUCCCAUGGAUGUGGCCUCAUCAAUUUUUCAACUCCAUGUUGUUUGGGAUUCACAGUGUUUCACAUACUCCCUAUUGUACACAGUGUGUGGAUGGCAUCCUUUCCCUCUCUGUAGACUGCUAUCGGGUGCAGUUCUGGGCGCACUUCACCUGGCCGUCUGUCAGCACCUGUGAGCUGCAUGUGUCCUCUUGGCCCCAGCCAACUGUCUCGGGAGAAUUCUAGUGUUGUGAUAACAGAACGUGAGGAGUGUACGUGUGUGUAUGUGUGAGUGUGUGCCUGGGGGUCUAUGUGUGUGUGUGUUUGUGAGUGUGAGUGUGUGAUUGUGCUGAAGACAUUUCCCUCUGCUUCCUUCUGCCCCUUCGUGGCUUUGCUUCCCAUCAGGUCUCCCUUCAGGCCCAGAAGGCAAGGUGGUCCUUAUGACCAAAUCAUUGUGAACAUCCCACACUACAUCCAGAAGAUGAAUUUCUCAAAGGAGAAUUGUUGCGGCAAAGGGUGGGCACCUGUGUAGCUUUUGGAUAGGUAUUGCCAUACAGACACCCAGAAAGGCAGUUCCAAGUUAGAGGCCCCAAAGGGGAGUCAUGUGAGAAAGGCCCCAGAGCAGUGAAAAAAGUGAUGCUGACACCAUGUCACAAAGGGCAGGCCCUAAACUCUGACCUGGACCCACACUCAAGCCACUGACACAAUUGGAAGAUGUGAAAGUGAUAAAAAGUAAAUCAAAUUUUGCACACAGGCACAGUCUCAGGUAUCACAUAGGGGAAAGGCCACUGCUUGGAGGAGCACGGGACAUAGAGACAGCAAGCCUGGGAUACAGCUACGUUUUUAUGUAAAUUCUUGUUUAUAUAAAAUGUAGACAUCAAGGCCUUUGUAUUAAAAACAUUGUUUCUACAGUACAACAGAAGACCAGGUCAACAUAUUUUUAACAGCUUUAUUGACAGUAUAGUUUACGGACAAUAAAAUGCAUGUACUUUAAGGUUACAAUUUGUUGUUUUCCGCAAAUCGAUGCAGUUGCACGGCCAUCAGCAUAAUUGAGUUUUAGACAUUUCUGUCACUCUAGAGAGUCCAAAUACAUGCAGUUUGCCAGUUAAUCCCUGCACCUACCCCUGGCCCCAUGGAACCACAGAUCUACACUCUGGCUCUAUGAAUUGGCCUAUUCCAGGCACUUCAUAAAAUGGAGUCAUACAACAUGUGGCCUUUUGUGACUGGAUUCUUUUAAACUGAGCAUGUUUUUGAGGUUCAUCUCUUUUGUAGCAUGUAUCAGUACUUCGUUCCUUUUAAUGGCUGAUAAUACUCCUUUGUAUGUAUAUACCACAUUUCCUUUAUCCAUUCAUCCAUUCAUGGACAUUUGGCUUGUUUCCACAUUUUCGCUAUCACGAUUAAUACUGGUAAAAGUAAUGGUGUGCAAGUUUUAUGUGCACCUGUGUUUUCAUCUCCUAGAUAAAUACCUAAGAGUGCGAUUGCUGGGUGAUACGGCAACGCCACAUGUAACUCACCAUUUGAGGAAUGCCAGACAACUUCCCAAAGGGGCUCCACUAUUUCACGUGCUUUUGGGUUCUAAUUCCUCCACAGCCUUGUCAACACUUGUUAUUAUCUGUCGUUUGGAUUAAAGCCAUCCUAGUGACUGUGAACUGCUAUCUCAUUGUGAUUUUCUUUACAGUUAUUGUGGCAUUUCCCUGCGGUGUUACCGUUUGCUUUCUCUGAUGGCUGAUGAUACUGCGGCUCUGUUCAUGUGCUUAUUGUCCGUUUCUGCAUCUUUGGAGAAAUGUCUAUUUACAUCACUUGCCCAUUUUUAAAAUGGAAUUAUUCUUUUGUCUUUAUUAUUGACUAUUAAGUGCUAUUUUUCUAUACUGAUACAAGCCCCUUAUCAGAUCGAUGAUGUCCAGACAUUUUUCCCAUUCUGUGGGUUGAAAUUCCACUCCCUUAAUGGUGUCUUUUUAAAAUACAUUUAUAUGUGUCACGUAUGUUUACACAAAGAUGCCAAAGUAUAUACUGGAGACAAAUAUACCAAAAUGUCUAUUAACAGUGAGGCCCAACUUAGAGAAAGCUCCUUUUGGCAGAAAAUCAGUGAUUUGGGCCAGUUAAAAGAGGAACCUGACCAUAAGCAUGCACUCACGUGUUGGAUAUGAUCAGUCUUUGCCAACUAGGGCAGAAGUACCAUAGAGGGUUUUAGUUUUAGGACCUAUUGCCAAGCCUCUUAGGGGCAUCCAAAUACAACCUUUCUUCCAUUCUGGGCGUUGAAUUGGGGUCUCCCUAUGCAGAGGCCUGGAAGGAUGGGUGGUGUGGGUGAUUUCCAGAACAUUCCUCCCUACCACAUACCUGUGGAGGUGAUGGGUUAGAACCUCAGCAGAGGAAGCUCGUUGCUGUCCGAAGAUGAAAGCUGGAUGCUGGGAUGUAGUGCACCUGAGCCAGGCUGGAAGUGGGCGUGGCUGGACAGUGGUCACCGUCUUGCUGGCCUCCCAGCCAAGCACUCACGCCCUACUCUCUCCAUCUGCCCGUCUGUGUAUCAGUGUGUCUGUGCCCAGGGCCCCACGACCAGGAGAAGUGGUGGUAUAUAAAGGGAACCUCCAUGCCCACUUCAGGGAUGAUGGUUCAGGCGCAGAGAGUGUGGGGAAGACCAAACGGGAGUGGCCACCCUUCCAGAGAUAAGACAGGCACAAAACCAGGCCAGAAACCUCCCUUUGUGACGUAGCAAAGAUCUAAAGGAGGGGAGUUUGAAACUCCUCAUUCCUGCCCUUGAGAAUCAGGAAGAAUCAAACUACCAAGGGUUGCCUCAUCCUUUACUCCACAUCCAGCUUGGCCUGGUGAUGGCUGCACAUUAUGAACAUAAUUAAUGGCAUUGAAUUGUACACUUAAAAUGAGUACAGUGCAAAUUUUAUGUGUAUAUAUAUCACGAUUUAAAAUGUUAUUGAAAUAAAAAUAAUUCAGAGAAAAUAAAAACACAUAGCAACAUACACACGCAUAUGCACACACACACAUUCACUGCCAGUUUCAGCUGUAGAAACACACAGAGAUAUGCAAUCACAUAUACAUAUCUGUUUUAGAUAAAUUUGUUAAAUUUGCUUCUUUUCUCCCUAAAACAGUGUCAUUUCAGUGCAUUUCCAAAGCAGUAAUAUCAUGAGUAGAUCUUUUAAAGUAUUUUCUAUUUUUGAAUUUUUAUCUCAAUAAUUUUUCCCGAUUACAACAUUUCAAGUCAUAUAGAAAUGUAUGUUUAUCCUCUGGAAUUAUCCUGUAUGGCUAUCUGCCUGGUCGCCAUCCGUGACCUGAAGUUGCCGACUGUCCAUAGACUGAUACAUGGUCUCCAGACGUGUUUCUCUGUAGGUGAUGUAGUAACUUUUAUUUACAUACCACAAAUGUGCAUUCGUGUUCACAUAUCCUUUUUCAGUACAGGUAUCACCUUAUCCAUGUUCUUCUUGAGAUUUUAAUUUGCAUUUUCUUAGCUAAUGUGUUUUGGCAUCUUUUCAGAUGUUUAUCAGGCGGGUAUACUAAUUACUCUUUAUGUCAGUACUGUGUUAUCUCCUGCCCAUCUCAGUUUAAUAGUAAGCAUGCUUCGUAAGCCGCAUGUUGUUUGAAGAUAUUUGGCAUUUCAGCCAACUUUUACUUAUUUUGCCAAGCAGGGUAUGUUAGUGUUUCAAUAAUAAUUGUAUUUAAAAACAAUACAGAUCAUUGUCACAGAAAUUGAGCAACACCUGGACAGCAUCAAUUGCCCAGGGAGACUAGCGCAUUCAGAGCCCUGGAGGUUUCAGGACACAACGCGAAAAGCUGUAGAGUAAUUCCAGGUUUAACAACUGAGCAGGCACUUACAAGGCCCUUUCCCUCAUUUGGAAACCCUGGUGGUGUAGUGGUUAAAUGCCACAGCUGCUAACCAAAAGGCUGACAGUUCAGAUCCACCAGGCACUCCUUGGAAACUCUAUGGGCCAGUUCAACUCUGUCUUAUAGGGUCCAGCUAUGAGUCAGAAUCAACUCGACGGCAACAGGUUUGGUUUUUGGGUUUUUUUCCCCUCGUUUACUUAAUCUCCUAACUCUGGUAACCCAACCUGAAUAAUGGGAAUAAUCUAAAGCAGCAUGAAUAGCUGUUAAGGUUGAGGCAGAUAAAAUACAAAUUACCUUUUUUUAAAGAAGCCUCAUGAUUUUUUUUUUUGUAAUGUCUCCUGGUUAUCUUUCAGCCCUGGUGGCACAGUGGUUAAAAUGAUCAACUGCUAACUGAAAGGUCAGCGGUUCAAAACCACCAGCGGCUCCUCGGGGGAAAGAUGUGGCAGUCUGCUUCCAUAGACAAUUACAGCCUUGGAAACCCUAUCGGGUUGCUAUGAGUUGGAAUUGACUUGAUGGCAGUGGGUUUGUUUUUUUGGUUGGUUUUAUUUCAGGAGAGACUUAACAGCUCUGCUUCUGCCUGAACUCCAUGCAUCCCCUCAGAGACUAGCCUGUCCCUUGGGCACACAUCCCAGCCUCUAGCCCAUUGGGCAGGAUUUCAUCUCCACCACCAUGUUCGUCAUCAGCAGAGUGUUUAAAAUAAACAGUCCUCAAGCCAGGAAGUCGCCAUCUAAGACUGUGCUGCUGAGUGUCCUGUGGGGUGGGCAAGAGAUGGAGCCCCAUUCCUGUCACACAUCAGUGUUGGGCCCUGGAAGAGUACAACCCUUUUAGGGCUUGAGUUUGGUCAUCUGUAAAGUGGGAAUGAUGAUAGCUUCCUCAGUGAUGUCUUAUGAAGAGAAAAUAUUAAAAUCUAGGAAUCAUGGGUACUGCAUAAUAGCUCCUCAACAGAUGCUUGUCCUGUUCCCGCCCUGUCUUCUCCCUUGCAUGGAAGAGAUGACCCUGACCUAAAACAAAGGGCAUAGUCCUCACAAGUAGCAUCUGGAAUGUAGCACCAGGAAGUAAAAAACACAUACCUUUAUAUAACAUAUGAACUUUAGUCCCAUUUCUAUAUUUCGGAUGCAUUCCCUGACUGAGUUGGGAUAAGGGAAGAAAAUCAUCAUGCCAUUUUUUUUAAUCCCAUGUGCAACCCUGUCCUUGUUUCUUUCUUUGUUCUGUCCUCGUUACUUUACCUUUUACGUUGAAUGUAAGUAAAAGAGGUUCCCAUUGAGCUCUAGACAGAAGAGACAUUCCAGGAGAACAAUGCCUAAUAAAGGGUCUUGGACAGAAGACGAGUCAGGAGACCUGAGACCUAAACGCAUCACUGACCACAGGCCCUUGAGUGAGCCACUUCCCCUCGCUGGCCUCAGCUGUCACACAGAGCAACACUCCAUGUAACUGUGCUCAGGGAUGAGGGCUUUGGGGUCAGAUAAACUGGGGCUUAGACCUAGGCUCCACUAGGUGAUGGUUGGGUGAUCUUAGCAAGUUUUCUUUUUGUUCUGAAUUGCAUUUCUUCCUUUCUAAAAUGAGGAUGAGAAUGAGACCUACCCCAUGUCUGUGGUUAAGAUUAAAGGAGAUAAUACUUGGAAACCAGUAUGGUACCCGAAUGAUACUUUGUAAGUUAUGAGUAGACAGUCACUUCUUUUUACCAACAGUGUUAUUAUUAGACUUCCCAACCAUCAACAAGGAACAUAGCCUGGGUGAAUUUACUAUGCUGUAUGUUUACAUGUAGUGUGUGAUGGUGUUUCCCAUCAGAUAUAUCCUUCAAAAAAUGGGGCUUGAGCAACUGUAAAGUGUUCUCAAAAAGUAAAAUUACUUUCUUCAUACCAUGUGAUUUCAUGUUACAGACAAAAAUAAAAAGAUAUAUAUGUGUGCGUACAUAUGUAUAUAUAAGACGGUCAUAUGAAAUGCAUAUAUAAAGUAUAUACAGGACAAUCGUAUAUCAGUCCAAACCCACCACUGUUGAGUCGAUUCUGACACAUAGCAACCCUAUAAGACAGAGUAGAGCUGCCCCAUAGGGUAUUCAAGGCCAUCAAUCUUUACGGAAGCAGACUGCCACAUCUUUCUUCUGCAGAGCGAUUGGUGUGUUCAAAUCGACAUUAGCAGCCAAGCACUUUACCACUGCGCCAGAAGGGCUCCUUAAUUGUACAUAGGCAUACAUGAAAAUAACAGAAGGACUUUCAGCAAAAGGUAAGCAGUUAUCCUUCGAUCAAAUUUCUGAUUAUAUUUUCAUCUCAGUAUGUGUGUCUAUUUUAAACAUUUAUAAAACCAAGUGUGCAUUACGUUGAUGAUCAGAAAUACAGCCCCUAAAAGCUUUCUUUGUAAUUUAUUCAAUGUUCUAAACAUACAAAAUGGUACACAGAAUAACAUAAAAAAGAACUCAUUCCCUGUAGGCAGGUACAGAAAUGAGCUUUACCAAGAGAAGUGCACGGGUUUCACUAGGUGUCUUUGUGGACCUUGUACUUUUCACAACACAUGCUGUUUUUGAGAUUCGUCUACAUUCUGAUUCCUAUACCCUUAUUUCAUUCAUUUUUAUUUCUAUAUUGUAUUCCACUAUACGGUUGUUCCAGAAUUUGUUAUUCAGAAUAAUGUGUUGAUGGGCAUUUGGGUUCUUUUCAGAUCUGGAAUAUUAAAAGGAGUGCUGCAAAGGACUUUAUGUAAAUGUAUCCUUGUGCACACAUGUUGGGGGUUCUGGAUGUACCCCUGUGGGUCCACGUGGGGUGUCAUCAGGGAGGCACAAUCUGCCAGGUAGGGUCUAACUGCUCUGCAAAGUCAUCAGACCGGUUUACAAUCUGGGAGGUCCUGUUUCUCUACAUUGUCCAUCUAAAGGGGAGGUUAAAUGCCUGGGUCCAGUCAUGGGUGUUGACUGAAGCACAUGGGGGUUAUUGUUGCAGCUGUUCCUCUUAGUAGCUCUGUGACUUUGGAACAUGUACUUAACCUCUCUGAGGCUCACUCCUUUAUAAACAGAAGUCCUGAUACCAAGCAGAAUAUCUAGAACAUGUAGAGAGGCAGCAAAUGUUUAUUUCCUUCCCAUUCCAUUCUGUUACAGAGAUUUUAUUUUGACCUCAGAUCAUCACUGUGUCUUAGCAUUUCAGGAAUGUUCCAAUAUGGAGAACAAACCACUCGUGCACAUUAGGUAACAGAUUUGGGGCCAUGUCU